rnacentral:rRNA from 1 species
AACGUAGGGGGCGUAGCGUUGUCCGGAAUUACUGGGGGUAAAGCGCACGCAGGCGGUCUGGAAAGCGGUGGGUGCAAUCUCGAGGCUCAACCUCGAAACUGCUCGCCGAACUACCAGACUUGAGCACGGGAGAGGACAGUGGAAUUCCCGGUGUAGCGGUGGAAUGCGUAAAUAUCGGGAGGAACACCAGUGGCGAAGGCUGCUGUCUGGAACGUUGCUGACGCUGAGGAGCGAAAGCCAGGGGAGCGAACCGGAUUAGAUACCCGGGUAGGUCCCUGA